rnacentral:misc_RNA from 1 species
UUGAUACGUCUUGAAGCUUCACUCUCAUUACCUUCACCACGCUGGCCACACAAGGAAUCUAUCUCAUCAAUAAAAAUAAUUGAAGGAGCACUAUCACGUGCCAUUUGGAAAAGAUUGGACACAAGCUUUUCACUCUCACCCAUCCACUUUGAAACCAGGUCUGAAGAAGAAAUACUGAAAAAAGUCGAGUCUGCCUCAGUUGCAACUGCCUUGGCCAAGUAAGAC